CCCUCCCUCCCUCGUCCUCACCCGCCGCCGCUCCCUAACCCUAGCCCCAAUCCACAGCCCCGCGCCCCUCGCUCCUCCCUCCCUCGUCCGCGCCCCUCGCUCCUCCCUCCUUCGUCCGCCGCCACUCCCUCCCACCUCCUCCUCCUGCGCCCUAGGAGCCCCGCCGCCGACUGCUACUCCUCCACCGCCUCGCCUCUUCCUCCUCCUCGCCUUCCCAUCGCUCACGCGCAGGUCGCCCGACGGCAGGGAUGGUCAGGAAGGCUUCCCAGCCCGACUGUGCCGUCAUGGGAGCUGCAGGGAGGAGGAGGAGCAGAAGGGGCCACGGAUGAGGAGGAAGGAGACUAGCAGGAGGAGAAGGAGAUAUUCUUGUUCGAUUUGGUUCUCAUGCUGGCAUCUCCCUGCUGUCUGCUUUCCUUUUGGUUUCCAACUUUGAUGCUUGGAUUUGUUGUCUUGGCCAGCAGGAGUGGGAGGAGACAGGGAGGAUGAGGAAGGAGACAAGCAGGAGGAAGAGAAAAUCUUGCUCGCCUUAUGGACUCGCAAUAAACAGGUCCACAGGAAAAAUUCCUGAACGAUUUUGGUAUCCCCGGAUUUUUCUUCCCCGCGAUGAGAGAUCAGCGAGGAUUUGUGCUGCAGGGAGGGGACUGGUGAUAGGAAACAUGGGUCCAAGAAGAAAUCAAAGAGCAUGAUCGUUUCUAGGUCGCUGGUGCUGAAUCAUGUAAGGAUGGCGCAGAACUCACAUGAGGGAAAAGACCGAACUGCGGUAACCAAAUCAACAGCUGAUAAGGCAAUUGGUUGGGCUACAUGAUAGACACUUUAAUAUAUCUUCUUGGAAGCCGCUUAGUGUUCCAAUGAAUAAUUGUCGCUGGUGUGAUGCACGCCUUCAUUGUUUGGUGGGCUGCUUCUUGCCUGGUGUGGUUGAAGAAUUUUCAGAGAUGUAUGUACCAUGAUGAUUGAGGAGGCGUAUGAAAUAAAUCUGAAGAAAUAAGUCGCCUCCAUCAGCGAGGCUGCGAACAACUCUUGGUGCCCCUGUUAACCUCCUCAAUGUUUGCGUUGUUUGCCUGUCGGUCAAAUGCUCACUAUUCAGCAGACAGAUACAGUGUCCAGAUCGUUUAGGAACCAGCGUUACUUCAAAAAAAGAUAGGACCUGAUACACAUUACAUUCAUGGACUACUGAUAUACCUGAUGCAUUUCUUCAUGAUGGAAGCGGAUGCUAUCAAGAUCAUGCCAAAGGCGAUGCUCAUUCCCGUUCUUAGUGAGAUGGGUUUACUCGAUGCAAAGUAUGAGCAUUGCAGACUCUGGCGAGCUGCUGAAGGUCGACGAGGAGGGCGCCGCCGCCACCGUCAUCAGGCUGGUCCACAUACACGCGUUGCUCGGCGUCACCAGGUCACCGGCACAACUCCGCACGCCCAGGCCGUUCAACAUUUUCUUCCGCUUUUGGUGCGUCACAUUUAGAAUCUUUCUUUCCCAUUUUACCGUGUUUGCAUGGUAAGAUGUUCUGUUAGAUUUUAAGGUUCAUAGCCUUGGCUCCAAAGCUUCAAGCUCUUGCAUAAUAGUGUUGUUCAGUGGGAUGCAGAAUUUUUGUUUGUCUGAUCGGCUAUGGCUAUCUUUGGUGCUGAUUUACUACAAUAAAGAUGUUGUGUGUAUAAAUAUUACUAACUGUUGAUACUUUGCAUCAGUGAUUUCAUUUCUGUUGGCCCUCCUUAAGAUUGCUUGGGAAUGUGAGGCUUAAAAGUUUCAACCCUGUGCAAUGUGCUUCUGGGUGUGGAUUUGUGGCUGACUAAUUAACGGUUCUGUUAAUACUAAUAUGUGUUGCAUCGCUUGUACUUAUAGUAAGUAGAAAUUUUUCUCAUAUGUUUCAAUAUGUGCCCGAAUAAUAUUAAUGUACACUCUUUCAAUACAUGGCUUACUCUUGGCCUUUGCGCCAUUGGCGCAACUGGUCAUCUAGUACUAAUGAAAGGGAAGAGACUUCCCAAUAUCCUCCUAUUAUUUCUUAUGAUGAAUCAGGUAACGAGGAGGAGCCUUCUAUUCAACCAAUCUCAUUAAUAAGGAGCUCCAAAAAGAGGAUUGAACCCACACAUGAUGUGGUGAAGAAGAAGAAAAGAAAAAGGAAGAGAGUUUAAAAGAUAUCUCUCCCAAAUAAUGAUGCUCCUAUUACUGUUGCGCCUCAUGAAAAUAUAAUUGUGGAAGAUGAUGCACUUGAUGAUGAUCUCGUUAUGCCUAUUGCUUGUUAUGGUGAUUAUGAUUGGGAAGAUAAUGAUAAUUCUUAUGAUCUUGAAAAUCUUUUUGGCACUUGCUUGGAAGAAUAUGAUAAUUGCUAUACUAUUGGUGCUAUCCAUACUAUUGAUGAUGAGAGUGAUUAUGCUUAUGAUAUGAAAAGGCCCAAGCUUGGGGAUGCUAUGUUUGAAGAAGAUGAUGCUUUUGAGAAUAUAUUUGCUGCAAUUAAUGUUUGUCCCAAGCUUGGGGAUGCUACGUUUAAUGAAGAUGAUAUUUUUAGUCUCCCAAGUUUUGAUAAGCAAAUUCAUAAUGAUGAUAGCAUGCCACCUACACAUUGAUGAAAGUGUAUUUGGAGAGGUCAUGACUUUAUUUAGUAAUGAUUCCACUAUCUUGGAAGAGGUUUCAAUUGAUUAUGAUGAGAACAAAGUUGCUACUUAUGAUAAUUAUUGUGAUGAUACAUAUGCUAUAAAAAGUAGUGAUGAUUAUAUUUAUAAAACUUGUCAUGAUUAUGAUUACCCUUUUUCUGAACAUUACUCUUUUAAUGUGGAAACAAUUUAUAGUAUUCGAGUCUCUUAUGAUACUCCCACUAUUUUGAAGGAAAAGAAUCUUGCUUAUGUGGAGAGUAGUAAAUUUUCUAUGCUUGUAGAUCAUGAAAAGAAUGCUUUAGGUGCUGGUUAUAUUGUUGAAUUCAUUCAUGAUGCUACUGAAAAUUAUUAUGAGGGAGGAAUAUAUGAUUGUAGGAAUUGCAAUAAUAUCAAGUUUCCUCUCUAUGUGCUUAAAGUUUCAAAGUUAUGCUUGUUUUGCCUUCCUAUGCUAGUUGAUUAUUGUUCCCAUAAGUUGUUUGGUAACAAAAUCCCUAUGCAUAGGAAGUGGGUUAGACUUAAAUGUGUUAGUCAUAUUCUUCAUGAUGCUCUCUUUAUGUUUCAAUUCUUAUCCUUUAUGUGAGCAUCAUUGAAAUCAUCAUGCCUAGCUAGGGGCGUUAAACGAUAGCGCUUGUUGGGAGACAACCCAAUUUUAUUUUUGUCCCUUGCUUUUUGAUCCUUUUUAGUAAUAAAUAAUUUAUCUAUACUCUGUUAUGAUUUAGUUUUUAUGUUUUAAUUAGUGUUUGUGCCAAGUAGAACCGUUGGGAAGACUUGGGGAAAUUCUUUUUGAUCUUGCUUUUAAAAAACAGAAACUUUAGCGCUCACGAGAACUGCUGCCAUUUUUAUUUGGAAAGUGAUGGUUAGGUAAUUCUUUUUGAAGAUGAUUAAUAGAUAAAUUCCUCACGUCCAGAAAUUUAUUUGAGAAUUUUAUGAGUUCCAUAAGUAUACGUUCGAUCCAGAUUACUACAGACUGUUCUGUUUUUGACAGAUUCUGUUUUUCCUGUGUUGUUUGCUUAUUUUAAUGAAUCUAUGGCUAGUAAAAGAGUUUAUAACCCAUAGAGAAGUUGGAAUACAGUAGGUUUAACACCAAUAUAAAUAAAUAAUGAGUUCAUUACAGUACCUUUAAGUGGUGUUUUGUUUUCUUUCGCUAACGGAGCUUACGAGUUUUCUGUUAAGUUUUGUGCUGUGAAGUUUUCAAGUUUUGGGUAAAGAUUCAAUGGACUAUGGAAUAAGGAGUGGCAAGAGCCUAAGCUUGGGGAUGCCCAAGGAACAUAAAGGUAAUAUUCAAGGAUAACCAAGAUCCUAAGCUUGGGGAUGCCCCGGAAGGCAAACCCUCUUUCGUCUUCGUCCAUCGGUAACUUUACUUGGAGCUAUAUUUUUAUUUACCACAUGAUAUGUGUUUUGCUUGGAGCGUCAUUUUAUUUUUUUAGUUUUUCUUGAUGUUUGAAUAAAAUACCAAGAUCUGAAAUUAUUAAAUGUUAGAGAGUCUUCACAUAGUUGCAUAAUUAUUCGACUACUCAUUGAUCUUCACUUAUAUCUUUCAGAGUAGUUUAUCAUUUGCUCUAGUGCUUCACUUAUAUCCUUUUAGAGCACGGUGGUGGUUUUAUUUUAUAGAAAUAGAUGAACUAUCAUGCAUCACUUAUAUUAUUUUGAGAGUCCUAAACAACAUGGUAGUUUUCUUUGGUUAUGAAUUUAUUCCUAAUAUGAUGGGCAUCCAAGAGGGAUAUAAUAAAAACUAUCAUAUAAAGUGCAUUGAAUACUAUGACAAGUUUGAUACUUGAUAAUUGUUUUGAGAUAUGGAGAUGGUGAUAUUAGAGUCAUGCUAGUUGAGUAGUUGUGAAUUUUAGAAAUACUUGUGUUGAAGUUUGUGAUUCCCGUAGCAUGCACGUAUGGUGAACCGUUUUGUGACGAAGUCGGAGCAUGAUUUAUUUAUUGAUUGUCUUCCUUAUGAGUGGCGGUCGGGGACGAGCGAUGGUCUUUUCCUACCAAUCUAUCCCCCUAGGAGCAUGCGCGUAGUACUUUGUUUCUAUAACUAAUAGGUUUUUGCAAUAAGUAUGUGAGUUCUUUAUGACUAAUGUUGAGUCCAUGGAUUAUACGCACUCUCACCCUUCCACCAUUGCUAGCCUCUCUAGUACCGCACAACUUUCGCCGGUACCUUAAACCCACCAUAUACCUUCCUCAAAACAGCCACCAUACCUACCUAUUAUGGCAUUUCCAUAUCCAUUCCAAGAUAUAUUGCCAUGCAACUUUCCACCGUUCUGACACGCUUCAUCAUUGUCAUAUUGCUAUGCAUGAUCAUGUAGUUGAUAUCGUAUUUGUGGCAAAGCCACCGUUCAUAAUUCUUUCAUACAUGUAACUCAUGAGUCAUUGCACAUCCCGGUACACCGCCGAAUGCAUUCAUAUAGAGUCAUAUCUUGUUCUAAGUAUUGAGUUGUAAUUCUUGAGUUGUAAGUAAAUAAAAGUGUGAUGAUCAUCAUUAUUAGAGCAUUGUCCCAGUGAGGAAUGGAUGAUGGAGACUAUGAUUCCCCCAUAAGUCGGGAUGAGACUCCGGACAAAAAAAAUAAAUAAAUAAAAGAGGCCAAAGAAGCCCAAAUAAAAAAUAGGCCAUAAAAAAAGAGAAAAGGCCCAAAUAAAAAAUGAGAGAAAAAGAGACAAGGGACAAUGCUACUAUCCUUUUACCACACUUGUGCUUCAAAGUAGCACCAUGAUAUUCAUGGUAGAGAGUCUCCUAUGUUGUCACUUCCAUAUACUAGUGGGAAUCUUUCAUUAUAGAACUUGGCUUGUAUAUUCCAAUGAUGGGCUUCCUCAAAAUGCCCUAGGUCUUCGUGAGCAAGCGAGUUGGAUGCACCCCACUUAGUUUCUUUUUGAGCUGUCAUACACUUAUAGCUCUAGUGCAUCCGUUGCAUGGCAAUCCCUACUCACUCACAUUGAUAUCUAUUCAUGGGCAUCUCCAUAGCCCGUUGAUAUGCCUAGGUGAUGUGAGACUAUCUUCUCCUUUUUGUGUUCUCCAUAACCACCAUUCUAUUCCACCUAUAGUGCUAUGUCCAUGGCUCAAGCUCAUGUAUUGCGUGAAGAUUGAAAAAGUUUGAGAACACCAAAAGUAUGAAACAAUUGCUUGGCUUGUCAUCGGGGUUGUGCAUGAUUUAAAUAUUUUGUGUGGUGAAGAUGGAGCUUAGCCAGACUAUAUGAUUUUGUAUUGAUAACUUUCUUUGGCCAUGUUAUUUUGAGAAGACAUGAUUACUUUGUUAUUAUGCUUGAAGUAUUAUUAUUUUUAUGUCAAUAUUAAACUUUUGUCUUGAAUCUUAUGGAUCUGAAUAUGCUUGCCACAAUAAAGAAAAUUACAUGGAUAAAUAUGUUAGGUAGCAUUCCACAUCAAAAAUUCUGUUUUUUAUCGUUUACCUACUCGAGGAUGAGCAGGAAUUAAGCUUGGGGAUGCUGAUACGUCUCCAACGUAUCUAUAAUUUUUGAUUGUUCCAUGCUAUUAUAUUAUCAACCUUGGAUGUUUUAUAUGCAUUUAUAUGCUAUUUUAUAUGAUUUUUGGGACUAACCUAUUAACCUAGAGCCCAGUGCCAGUUUCUGUUUUUUCCUUGUUUUAGAGUAUCGCAGAAAAGGAAAAUCAAACGGAGUCCAAUUGACCUGAAACUUCUCGGAACUUAUUUUUGGACCAGAAGCAACUGAGAAGACUUGGGGUGUUCGUAAGGGAAGCAACGAGGAAGGCACGAGGCAGGGGGGCGCGCCCACCCCCCUGGGCACGGCCUCCACCCUCGUGGGCCCCUCGUGGCCCCCCUGACGUAUUUCUUCCUCCUAUAUAUAUAUCCAUAUACCCUAAAAACUUCGAGGAGCACAAUAGAUCGGAAGUUCCGCCGCCAGAAGCCUCUGUAGCCACUGAAAGCCAAUCUAGACCCGUUCCGGCACCCUACCGGAGGGGGAAUCCCUCUCCGGUGGCCAUCUUCAUCAUCUCGGUGCUCUCCAUGACAAGGAGGAAGUAGUUAUCCCUCGGGGCUGAGGGUAUGUACCAGUAGCUAUGUGUUUGAUCUCUCUCUCUCUCAUGUUCUUGAGGUGGUACGAUCUUGAUGUAUCGCGAGCUUUGCUAUUAUAGUUGGAUCUUAUGAUGUUUCUCCCCCUAUACUCUCUUGUAAUGGAUUGAGUUUUCCCUUUGAAGUUAUCUUAUCGGAUUGAGUCU
rnacentral:rRNA from 1 species